GGGGGUAGGGCUCAGGGAUAGAGCAUUUGACUGCAGAUCAAGAGGUCCCCGGUUCGAAUCUAGGUGCCCCCU
rfam:Homo sapiens chromosome 17 genomic contig, GRCh38 reference assembly alternate locus group ALT_REF_LOCI_1.